GUCUAUGGCUAUGCCACCCUGAAUGUGUCAAUCUUGUCUGGUCUCGGAAGCUAAGCAGGGCCAGGCCUGGUUAGUAUUCGGAUAGGGAGAAAAAGGGAGAGAAUAAAGGAG
rnacentral:rRNA from 1 species